rnacentral:misc_RNA from 1 species
AUGAUUGCGAAUGGUUGCCUUCGGUGCUGGCUCUCGCGAGCAAGUGCACGUUGGUGGCUUUCAUCCACUACUACCCUGUGAACCUUUGGCCUCUUGCUAGCUUCGGCUGGCAGAGGAUUUUUACACACACACUCGAAUGGAAUGAAAACGUUUGUCGUGCGCAAGCACUAAUGUA